GUCCUGACCAACUCCCCCCUGGAGGAGCAGCUCUGGGUGGGCGACUUCUGCCACAGCCGCGGCAUCAAGCUGGUGGUGGCCGACACGCGGGGGCUUUUCGGGUAAGGGGGGGGACCCCAAAAUUUUUGGGGUCCUUUUUGGGGUGUCCCUAAAUUUUUGGGGUCUCUUUAGGGGUGUCCCUAUAUGUCUGGGUCCUGUUUUGGGGACGCACGGGUCCCUUUUGGGGGUGUUUCCAAAUGCUCAGGUUCCUUUUUUGGGGGGUUCCCAGAUUUUUGGGGUCCCUUUAGGGGCUUCCCAAAUUUUUGGGGUCCUUUUAGGGGUGUCCCCAAAUGUUUGGGGUCCCUUUUGGGGUGUCCCUAAAUUUUUGGGGUCCCUUUAGGGGUGUCCCUAUAUGUCUGGUUCUCAUUUUGGGGACGCCCAGGUCCCUUUUUGGGGGUGUCCCUAAAUGCUUGGGGUCCUUUUUUGUGGGGUUCCCAAAUUUUUGGGGUCAUCUGGGGGUCCCCAAAUGUUUGGGGUCCCUUUUAGGGUGUCCCCAAAAUUUUGGGGUCCCUUUUGGGGUGUCCCUAUAUGUCUGGGUCCUGUUUUGGGGACGCACGGGUCCCUUUUGGGGGUGUUUCCAAAUGCUCAGGUUCCUUUUUUGGGGGGUUCCCAGAUUUUUGGGGUCCCUUUAGGGGCUUCCCAAAUUUUUGGGGUCCCAUUUGGGGUGUCCCCAAAGUUUUGGGGUCCCUUUUGGGGGGUUCCCCAAAUUGUUUGGGGUCCUUUUAGGGGUGUCCCUAUAUGUCUGGGUCCUGUUUUGGGGACACACAGGUCCCUUUUGGGGAUGCCCGGGUCCCUUUUGGGGGUGUUUCCAAAUGCUCAGGUUCCUUUUUUGGGGGGUUCCCAGAUUUUUGGGGUCCCUUUAGGGGCUUCCCAAAUUUUUGGGGUCC
rnacentral:lncRNA from 1 species